GAUGAACGCUGGCGGCGUGCUUAACACAUGCAAGUCGAACGGUGAAGCCAAGCUUGCUUGGUGGAUCAGUGGCGAACGGGUGAGUAACACGUGAGCAACCUGCCCUGGACUCUGGGAUAAGCGCUGGAAACGGCGUCUAAUACUGGAUAUGGGCUCUCAUCGCAUGGUGGGGGUUGGAAAGAUUUUUCGGUCUGGGAUGGGCUCGCGGCCUAUCAGCUUGUUGGUGAGGUAAUGGCUCACCAAGGCGUCGACGGGUAGCCGGCCUGAGAGGGUGACCGGCCACACUGGGACUGAGACACGGCCCAGACUCCUACGGGAGGCAGCAGUGGGGAAUAUUGCACAAUGGGCGGAAGCCUGAUGCAGCAACGCCGCGUGAGGGAUGACGGCCUUCGGGUUGUAAACCUCUUUUAGCAGGGAAGAAGCGAGAGUGACGGUACCUGCAGAAAAAGCGCCGGCUAACUACGUGCCAGCAGCCGCGGUAAUACGUAGGGCGCAAGCGUUAUCCGGAAUUAUUGGGCGUAAAGAGCUCGUAGGCGGUUUGUCGCGUCUGCUGUGAAAUCCCGAGGCUCAACCUCGGGCCUGCAGUGGGUACGGGCAGACUAGAGUGCGGUAGGGGAGAUUGGAAUUCCUGGUGUAGCGGUGGAAUGCGCAGAUAUCAGGAGGAACACCGAUGGCGAAGGCAGAUCUCUGGGCCGUAACUGACGCUGAGGAGCGAAAGGGUGGGGAGCAAACAGGCUUAGAUACCCUGGUAGUCCACCCCGUAAACGUUGGGAACUAGUUGUGGGGACCAUUCCACGGUUUCCGUGACGCAGCUAACGCAUUAAGUUCCCCGCCUGGGGAGUACGGCCGCAAGGCUAAAACUCAAAGGAAUUGACGGGGACCCGCACAAGCGGCGGAGCAUGCGGAUUAAUUCGAUGCAACGCGAAGAACCUUACCAAGGCUUGACAUACACCAGAACACCGUAGAAAUACGGGACUCUUUGGACACUGGUGAACAGGUGGUGCAUGGUUGUCGUCAGCUCGUGUCGUGAGAUGUCGGGUUAAGUCCCGCAACGAGCGCAACCCUCGUUCUAUGUUGCCAGCACGUAGUGGUGGGAACUCAUGGGAUACUGCCGGGGUCAACUCGGAGGAAGGUGGGGAUGACGUCAAAUCAUCAUGCCCCUUAUGUCUUGGGCUUCACGCAUGCUACAAUGGCCGGUACAAAGGGCUGCAAUACCGUGAGGUGGAGCGAAUCCCAAAAAGCCGGUCCCAGUUCGGAUUGAGGUCUGCAACUCGACCUCAUGAAGUCGGAGUCGCUAGUAAUCGCAGAUCAGCAACGCUGCGGUGAAUACGUUCCCGGGUC
rnacentral:rRNA from 1 species